AUUGAACGCUGGCGGCAGGCCUAACACAUGCAAGUCGAGCGGAUGAGUGGAGCUUGCUCCAUGAUUCAGCGGCGGACGGGUGAGUAAUGCCUAGGAAUCUGCCUGGUAGUGGGGGACAACGUUUCGAAAGGAACGCUAAUACCGCAUACGUCCUACGGGAGAAAGUGAGGGAUCUUCGGACCUCACGCUAUCAGAUGAGCCUAGGUCGGAUUAGCUAGUUGGUGAGGUAAAGGCUCACCAAGGCGACGAUCCGUAACUGGUCUGAGAGGAUGAUCAGUCACACUGGAACUGAGACACGGUCCAGACUCCUACGGGAGGCAGCAGUGGGGAAUAUUGGACAAUGGGCGAAAGCCUGAUCCAGCCAUGCCGCGUGUGUGAAGAAGGUCUUCGGAUUGUAAAGCACUUUAAGUUGGGAGGAAGGGCAGUAAGUUAAUACCUUGCUGUUUUGACGUUACCAACAGAAUAAGCACCGGCUAACUUCGUG
rnacentral:rRNA from 1 species